GGGCCCGCACAAGCGGUGGAGUAUGUGGUUUAAUUCGAUGCAACGCGAAGAAGUCCUUACCAGGGUUUGACAUCCUGCGAAUCUCUUGGAAACGAGAGAGGUGCCUUCGGGAGCGCAGUGACAGGUGGUGCAUGGCUGUCGUCAGCUCGUGUCGUGAGAUGUUGGGGUUAAGUCCCGCAACGAGCGCAACCCACGUCUUUAGUUGCCAGCAUUUAGUUGGGCACUCUAGAGAGACUGUCGGUGAUAAACCGGAGGAAGGUGUGGAUGACGUCAAGUCAUCAUGCCCCUUACAUCCUGGGCUACACACGUACUACAAUGCUACGGACAAAGGGCAGCAAGUUCGCGAGGACAAG
rnacentral:rRNA from 1 species